rfam:Lutzomyia longipalpis Contig18033, whole genome shotgun sequence.
GCCGUGAUCGUCUAGUGGUUAUGACAUCUCGUUGUGGCCGAGAAAGCCCAGGUUCGAUUCCUGGUCACGGCA